rnacentral:rRNA from 1 species
UUUAUACAAUGGAGAGUUUGAUCCUGGCUCAGGAUGAACGCUAGCGGCAGGCUUAACACAUGCAAGUCGAGGGGCAGCAUAAUGGAUAGCAAUAUCUAU